UUCUGACUAGCUCAGAUGGUAGAGCAUGAGUUUCUUAAUUUCAGGGUCAUGGGUUCAAGCCCCAUGUUGGGCA
rnacentral:tRNA from 1 species